GAUGAACGCUAGCGGGAGGCCUAACACAUGCAAGCUGAGCGGUAGAGUCUCUUCGGAGACUUGAGAGCGGCGUACGGGUGCGGAACACGUGUGCAACCUGCCUUUAUCAGGGGGAUAGCCUUUCGAAAGGAAGAUUAAUACUCCAUAAUAUAAUUUACGGCAUCGUAGAUUAUUGAAAACUCCGGUGGAUAGAGAUGGGCACGCGCAAGAUUAGGUAGUUGGUGAGGUAACGGCUCACCAAGUCGAUGAUCUUUAGGGGGCCUGAGAGGGUGAUCCCCCACACUGGUACUGAGACACGGACCAGACUCCUACGGGAGGCAGCAGUGAGGAAUAUUGGACAAUGGGUUAGCGCCUGAUCCAGCCAUCCCGCGUGAAGGACGACGGCCCUAUGGGUUGUAAACUUCUUUUGUACAGGGAUAAACCUAUCUACGUGUAGAUAGCUGAAGGUACUGUACGAAUAAGCACCGGCUAACUCCGUGCCAGCCGCCGCAGUAACAC
rnacentral:rRNA from 1 species